rnacentral:rRNA from 1 species
UACGUAGGUGGCAAGCGUUGUCCGGAAUUAUUGGGCGUAAAGCGCACGUAGGCGGCUUAGCAAGUCGGAAGUGAAAGCCCUCGGCUCAACCAAGGAAGUGCUUUCGAAACUGCUGAGCUUGAGUACUUAAGAGGAUCGCGGAAUUCCCGGUGUAGAGGUGAAAUUCGUAGAUAUCGGGAGGAACACCAGUGGCGAAGGCGGCGAUCUGGGAAGAUACUGACGCUGAGGUGCGAAAGCGUGGGGAGCAAACAGG